rnacentral:tRNA from 1 species
GACCCUUUAGUUCAACUGGAUAGAAUAGGAGCCUCCUAAGCUCUAGAUCUGGGUUCGAGUCCCGGAGGGGUCACCA